rnacentral:rRNA from 1 species
AAGUCAAGGGCAGCAAUGCACUGGCGCACGGGUGAGUAACGCGUAGGUUAUCUGCCUCUAUCUCUGACAUAACAUCGAGAAAUCGGUGCUAAUAUCAGAUGUGGCCGAAAGGUUAAAGAAGUAAUUUGGAUAGAGAUGAGCCUGCGUCUGAUUAGCUAGUUGGUAAGGUAAUGGCUUACCAAGGCGACGAUCAGUAGCUGGUCUGAGAGGAUGAUCAGCCACACUGGGACUGAGACACGGCCCAGACUCC